GGGCGUCUGUGGUGUGGAGCGCCCCCCUCAGGCCAUCAGAGCCACUGCACUCAAACAAAAACACACAAAUAAACACAGGAUGAAAAAGAGUGGAUCUGGUCCUGACGUCUGUAGGCCUCCAGUAGCCCUCCUUCAGGCCUACUCCUUGACAAGCCCAGCCAGUCAGCUCAGCUUCCACAUCCCUCCUGAGGAACUCAACUACAGACCCCAUUUCUCGCUGGUGAUGAAGACUACGUCCACAGAAGGCCUGAUUGUCCACAUCCGUGGGAAACAAAAUGGGGCCCACGUGACUCUUUAUAUGACCAGUGGCAAGAUAAGGCUAAUGGUUGGGAAUAGGAGCAUCCAUUACCAUAAGAAGAUAAAUGACAACCACUGGCACAAGGUGGACCUCAGUGUGGAGAAACACAGUUUUCACCUGCUGGUGGACAACCUGAGGGUGACCGACGGACAGCUACCUGCAGG
ensembl:lncRNA